GGAAACGAAGGUUAGUAAAAUAAAACAAAACAGGUCAUGGUUGUGAAGCAACCUGUCCUCAGUACCUAACUACAUGGAGCUGGUGUCGGCCUCUUUCCGAGAGGGGCUGUGUCCCUCCCUGAACGGGAUACUGAUAGUAAAGAGCUCCCCCACAUAAAGCAUCCUUUGCACCCUCCCAAUCGAUUCUUUCCCUUUUUGUUUUCUAGGAACAAGAGGAUUCAUCUGACUUAACUGGAGAUGGCUCCCUUCCCCAUUUAUUGUUCCAUUCCUAAAGCUUCCCUCCUACCGGGCUCAGUGAGAGCAGAUGGGAAGAGGCACCCACCUCAGAGGAGCUCUGUGAAAAAAUUACUGAGACACUAAGAUGCUGUGAAUUGGGAAAGUUUGGGAACCUCAAGAUUAGAGCUAUACAAACUGUCUCAAAGGGCAAAGGUGGAUUUUAAUGGCUUAAGCUCAAUGGUGAGUACAGAAAAGUGAUUCUAUUUAUUUUCCCCCAGACCAUUCAGGGCACUGCUCACAGUAG
rnacentral:lncRNA from 1 species